rnacentral:rRNA from 1 species
GACGAACGCUGGCGGCGUGCUUAACACAUGCCAGUCGAACGGAAAGGCCCUGCUUUUGUGGGGUGCUCGAGUGGCGAACGGGUGAGUAACACGUGAGUAACCUGCCCUUGACUUUGGGAUAACUUCAGGAAACUGGGGCUAAUACCGGAUAGGAGCUCCUGCUGCAUGGUGGGGGUUGGAAAGUUUCGGCGGUUGGGGAUGGACUCGCGGCUUAUCAGCUUGUUGGUGGGGUAGUGGCUUACCAAGGCUUUGACGGGUAGCCGGCCUGAGAGGGUGACCGGCCACAUUGGGACUGAGAUACGGCCCAGACUCCUACGGGAGGCAGCAGUGGGGAAUAUUGCACAAUGGGCGGAAGCCUGAUGCAGCAACGCCGCGUGCGGGAUGACGGCCUUCGGGUUGUAAACCGCUUUCGCCUGUGACGAAGCGUGAGUGACGGUAAUGGGUAAAGAAGCACCGGCUAACUACGG